GAUCAUUUUUUCAGCCACCAAUAUCCUCAGCAUAAUCAGUUUGGCUACCCAGGCAAUAAUGUUUUUUAUGCGGAUUACGAAGAGGAAAAUCCAGUUCCAGCUAUGCCCAUCAGACAAUUUCCAAAAUAUGACAUCUCAGCAUUUCCUAGGGCUGACAUGUUUCAGAGUGCUACUCAACCAAUGGACAAUAUGGAAAGACCAGUAAGACCUUAUGGACUAAAACGCUCGGGAAAUAGAUAUAACUACUAGAAAGUUUACAAUACAGGGAACACGUGAAAAAUCAGUUGUAUAUUCAGAGUCUUUCUGAAAAUAUCAUGUGAUUUGUUUUUGGUAUGAUUUGAUACAUUUCUAACUUUCUUUGGAAGACUUGAUGAUAUAGAAUACCAGGUUCUGCUUAUUGCCAAAAUUGCUGCAUACCAGUAAUAGCACAGGAAUAUUUUGUAUUGUUUAGCAUGUGCUGAGUGCCAGGAAAUGUCCUAACACACAAAGCCAAAUGUUGUUUUCCUUAGAAAAACACACGAGAAGGAAAAAAUGUUCUUAAAUCUCAGACUAAAGAAACAGAAAAAUCCAUGGAAAACCAUUGCUUUCCCUUUGAAAGGAGGGUCUUGAGUUAUGGGGAGAAGACUGGGAGUAUGGCUCGUAGAUACUCUCGCCUCUUGUUCAUGUGAAAACCUAUCCCAGUGCCACUUUCUGGCCCUCUCUCUUCUUUACAGUGGUCAAUCCACUCCCAUGAGAUUCCUUGCACUGCAUUACUAUGUCAUGUCACAAACUGAAGAGAAAGAGGAAAAGUAGAAUAUUAUUGUUAAGGACAUAAAUUUCCAUCAGCUUUUCUGUCUGAAAUAAAAUGGGUUUUCAGGACAGCAUUGGAUGUAGACUAUCUGCUCCUCAACUGACUUCUUCACAGCCUCUGAUUUUUCCUUUAGGAGCAAUAUUCACAAAAUAAUUCCAGUUACAAUUAUAACUUCUGCUUUUUAUUUACCACCUACAUAGAUUGAAGGCCGAAUUCUGUUCUAGGAUUACAACCAUACAACUAUGCUGACUUCAGUAGUGGUGCACAAAUGUUACUUGGUGCAUAUUUGGUUGCAGAUUUCACAAACUCCACAAACAAAAUUCUACAAAACAUCUUCAUAUAUAUUCAUACACUUCAUAUUGUCCUGCACUAUUCUUCUCCUUUCUGUACAGCAGCUGUCCCAGUCACCAAACGCUUCCAUAACCUAAGGGCUGGCAAGCUUCUAUGGGGUAGGCAGGAGCUUGGAACCAGGCUAUCCCUGGACUACAGGUCUCCAGCCCUCUUCCUACUUUAUGUGGCCAGCUGCCAGAUAUCCAGCCUCUCUGCAGCAAGGAUAAGCUCAGACACCAUGGAGCAGCAGACAGCAGCAGAGUGGAGCUUUGGGGAGAGGAUGGGAGACAUUAGGCUGCCCCUCCAUGGGACUGGACUUCCACAGACCAGAUCCACCCUGCAGGCCACAGGUUGCCAAUCCCUGCUAUAACCCAAUUUCUCACUGAUUGAUGGAAGUUUGUAAUUUUAAACCUACUAGGCAGAAUAUCCUUCUGCUAGAGAUCCAUGAUGUCAGAUCUCCAUGGGUACAUGGGCAUAUAACAAAGAACAGAUAGAGCUGGGGAACAUGUUCUACAGACUCAAAACCUAUCCAUUUGGAAGUUAAUUCUGCUUCAGUUUAUAUUAACUCCUUAUUGCUUUUCCCUCUGGUUGCUACUGUACGAUGCAAAUAAUAGUAAUAUUAUCUUUGGGGCCAUGUGAAAAGUGUGUUGUGAUAUUGAAUGUCCAAGUGACCAAAGAUCUAGCCUAAUCUGGGAACAUCCAUUAAUUAACAGGCCAUUCCAUUGUGCUACCUAGUCUCUCUCGUACUUUGUGCAACCCUUGAAUAUUCAGGAAGGUACUUGAUCAUAUCUCUAAGCCUUCAAGUUCAACUUGAAAUUCUUUAGUUUUCUCUUUUAAAUUAUACUUUGAUGUUUUUGUAAUUUGUUUUAUAAAUAACAUAAAUAAAAUGACACUGAAAAUUACCUACUUUAUGAGCAUCUAAAAAAGAAAAAAUAUAUCAUCUGUCCAGGUCCUGAAUACCUUUGAAAUUGCCAGAAAAAUAGUGUCUUAAGUACAUUUUAACCUUUUUAUUAAAGCAUGAUCUUAAUUAAUUUUAGAAAAUCAAUAAAAAAUUAACUACAGAGAUAUAACAGAAACAGA